rnacentral:rRNA from 1 species
CGGCACGGGUGAGUAACACGUAUGCAAUCCACCUGUAACAGGGGGAUAACCCGGAGAAAUCCGGACUAAUACCCCAUAAUAUGGGCGCUCCGCAUGGAGAGCCCAUUAAAGAGAGCAAUUUUGGUUACAGACGAGCAUGCGCUCCAUUAGCCAGUUGGCGGGGUAACGGCCCACCAAAGCGACGAUGGAUGGGGGUUCUGAGAGGAAGGUCCCCCACAUUGGAACUGAGACACGGUCCAA